UCUGCCCUUCACUCUGGGACAAGCCCUGGAAACGGGGUCUAAUACCGGAUAACACUUACCUCCUCCUGGGGGUUGGUUAAAAGCUCCGGCGGUGAAGGAUGAGCCCGCGGCCUAUCAGCUUGUUGGUGGGGUAAUGGCCUACCAAGGCGACGACGGGUAGCCGGCCUGAGAGGGCGACCGGCCACACUGGGACUGAGACACGGCCCAGACUCCUACGGGAGGCAGCAGUGGGGAAUAUUGCACAAUGGGCGAAAGCCUGAUGCAGCGACGCCGCGUGAGGGAUGACGGCCUUCGGGUUGUAAACCUCUUUCAGCAGGGAAGAAGCGCAAGUGACGGUACCUGCAGAAGAAGCACCGGCUAACUACGUGCCAGCAGCCGCGGUAAUACGUAGGGUGCGAGCGUUGUCCGGAAUUAUUGGGCGUAAAGAGCUCGUAGGCGGUCUGUCACGUCGGAUGUGAAAGCCCGGGGCUUAACCCCGGGUCUGCAUUC
rnacentral:rRNA from 1 species